rnacentral:rRNA from 1 species
CCUACGGGCGGCAGCAGUGAGGAAUAUUGGUCAAUGGGCGAGAGUCUGAACCAGCCAAGUAGCGUGAAGGAUGACUGCCCUACGGGUUGUAAACUUCUUUUAUAAAGGAAUAAAGCGAGGCACGUGUGCCUUUUUGCAUGUACUUUAUGAAUAAGGAUCGGCUAACUCCGUGCCAGCAGCCGCGGUAAUACGGAGGUUGCGAGCGUUAUCCGGAUUUAUUGGGUUUAAAGGGAGUGUAGGUGGGGAAUUAAGUCAGAUGUGAAAAUCCAGGGCUCAACCCUGGAAUUGCAUUUGAAACUGGCAGCCUUGAGUGCAGGUGAGGUAGGCGGAAUUCGUGGUGUAGCGGUGAAAUGCGUAGAUAUCAGGAGGAACACCAGUUGCGAAGGCGGCCUGCUGGACAGCAACUGACGCUGAGGCGCGAAAGUGUGGGUAGCAAACAGGAUUAGAUACCCUAGUAGUC